UUAAUUGAAGCCAAAAUAGAGGCAUAUUACUGUUAAUAAUAUAAUUGAAUCAAUGAUUCCAAUUAAG
rnacentral:tRNA from 1 species